rnacentral:rRNA from 1 species
GUGGCGGAAUUCAUUGAGCUAUGGUCACAACUAUAACACAUCACUCUAUCUACGGAGGACCACGACUCGAUCACUUGGAAGCUUUCUUCUAGCGGGGAAUACUCGGCAAAGUCGGCUUAUAAGGCCCAAUUCAUGGGCGCCAUCCUCACUCCCAUGAAUAAGGUCAUUUGGAAAGUUUGGGCCCCUCCCAAGGUUAGGUUUUUCUCGUGGCUCACAACUCAAAAUAGGGUGUGGAUGGCUGAUCGUCUUCAGCGGCGAGUUUGCCAAAAUUGUGGCAUUUGUCCAUUAUGCAAGAGGGAGUUCGAGACCGAUGCUCAUCUUUUCUUCAAAUGCCGCUACACCUUGAGAGUUUGGAGGUUGGUCAAAGCUUGGUUAGGACUCCAAACCCUUGACCUCUCCCAAUGGGCCACUCACCGCUCCGUCUGUGAUUGGUGGAUUCACUUGGCCACUCGCAGCAAGGCCUUCGCAACCCUUUUCAUGCUCAUCAAAUGGUCAAUUUCGAACGAGUGA